CCCACGCCGCCGCAGCCUCCCCACCUCCGAGAGACGAAACGCUCCGAGACCUCUGCGCUUCGUCAACACGGUGGAGUAUUUGACAUUCACAAUUACCUGUAAAUAUUCUGGCCGUUUUGUGUACGAGACACUUUUUUUUUUUUUUUUUUUUUUUUUUUUUAUCCUUAAGCCUGGUAAGUCUCACCCGAGAGACCAAGUGUAACACUGCCGCACUGCCGGCACCCAGCGAGGCAGGCGGCGAGAGGAGCGCUCCGCUCCCGAGCGCCUUCACAUCCCUCCCCCGGCACUCGAGCGCCCGGAGCGAGAGGAAUGAAUGCUCUGCUGUACCGUGCCCCUCGCUCCGUACCCUAAAACGCAACAACUGAAAACUUGAUUUAAAGCGCUAACAUAAUAGAGAGAUUUCAAAUUAGUGACAGAACAGGAGGUGCCUAUUACUAAACCAUCGGACAAAACAAAUCGGUUCACACACGGGCAGAUUAGGUGCCAGAUUUUCUAACGUAUUUGCAACGGCAGUUCAAAACAGAAAGAUGAGAUCUGAGCUGGUCACUCAACUCCGACAUCUUGCAAUCGGUCUCUAUUUUUUACUUUAACCUCUCCCUUCCCUACCCAUCACAUCAUAAAAAUUAGCAGCGUGGAAUUACCUGUCUGCUUCUCUGAGCCUCCUUCAAGUAAAGAAGGUAAAAGUCACUUCACCUAUUAGCUUGUAUAAGUAAUAAAGAGGUGGUAACUCGGAGCUAGUACAUUUUGAAGAUUGUGUCACAUGCUUUAGCAUAAACAAGGGUGUUAUAGCCCUCGCGAUUACUGGAUCAAUUCAUCUCUGCAACAACUUGUGCCGCUUUCAGUUCUUUGCAGGUAUUUAUUCUGUCCCUGGGCAUAGCUCUGUACAUCCCGACUCGAACAGCAGCAGCCCCUCGGUUUCUGUGGCGUCUCUGCGCAAAAUUGCUAAGGGGAAAGGCGGUUUGUCAGCACCCUGCCCCUCUGCACCAGCCUGUUUUGAACCAGAUCCGAGGGGAUGACUGGGGCUGCAAUUGAGGUGCCAUAUCCCCGCAGCGCGGACAGCAGCCCGAAGACGCAGCGGCUGCCCGGGCGCACACUGUGCGAGCGGCUCCACUCUCCCCUCGCACAACGGGGAGGGAUUUGUUCCAUUUCAGCAAUGUGUUUUUUUUUGUGUGUGUGUGUGUGUUUUUGUUUUUUUUUUUUUUUUUUUUUUCCAGCCCCACGCCUUUUACUAAUGCACUUGCUAGAGAGGUUGCCCAAAAGCGCGGCCACCCUGCCGGGCAGCUGCGGCGGCUUUUCAAAGCGCUGCCCCGCUCCGGCCCGGGGAGGCGUGUGCGCCCGGCCGGGAGAGGAGCGCCCACCUCGGAGGUUUGCUCUGAGCCCCCCGCGCCCCGGCGGCUCCCUCCUCUGUCCCUCAUCUUGCUCUGCUACGCACCCAGUCCGAGCUCGCCCACCCAGCGAUUAGGAAGGAGACGGGGACCUUCCCCAGGCUGCCCCGGGAUGGGGACAGGAGGGUCCCGCUCCUGCCGCCCGGCAGGGAAGGCUCAGCAGUGGCUGGCCUUGCACACUGCCAACCUCGGCGACUGCCCUCGCCACCGGCACAGCGCCGCUGCCCGCGGGGCCCGGAGCAGGACAGGGCGCAGGUGCUGCGGGCCGGGGCGACGACAGCGCGGCGAUAGACAGGGCUGGGAGGUGGCUCCCUUGUCUCCAGCAACCCCCCGACCGCAGGGGCGUCUCAGGCACAGGAAGAGCGCCCGGCGCAGGCCAAGUGCGCAGAACAGGGCACGGGCAGCAGCCCUUCCCAGCGCCGCCCGGGCCUGGCAGAGGCCUCCGGGCAGUGUUCAGAGCCCGGGGAGGAGGCAGCCUGUGCCACCUCCCUCUUUCUGGCGCUCCGCAGACCAAGACGGCUGAGCUGAAGCACCGCCAGGCCGGCGGCCCAAGCCUACCAAACGCCCGGGGCCCUCCCCUUCUUGCAGCAUGCCCCCGGGGCAGGAUCCCCCCUGGCCGCCAUCCUCGGAGUCCGUCGGUUCUCCGCGGGGAACCCAGACGGUGCAAGCAGCAUAACUAACGCCGUCCUUCGCUCGUACUCAUCCUUCUCACACCCCUCGGCUCCCUCCGGCAGACAGACGGCCCUGCUGUUCUGGGCCCGCCGGCAGCCCGCUCACCCGGAUCUACACCGCCUUCGGCAGCUCCCUAGGCAAGAGCCCAGGGAGAGGGCCGGCCCCUUCUGGUGCGGCCUCGGGUGCCUCGCAGCUUGGAAAAGGAAAGGAGAGGAAGUCUGAGGAACAAAGACCACACAUCGCCUCCUGCAAAGGCACUACACAGCCAUGACGAAGUGGCACAUUUAGUUAUUCCUAUCAUCAGCUCAGGUGUUGAAAGCUUCAGUAACGACCUGAGUUUUGGGGUGCCAUGAAAGCUCUCAUUGUUCAUUUUCUGCAGAGUCUCAUCAGCACCACAUUCUCAUGUUCCUGCUACAUUUGUGCAUCUCUACUGCAAUCAAAAAUACAAUUAUUGACA